GUAAGGUGCGGGCUGGGGGCGGCGUGAGGAGGUUGGGUGUAAGCGUUAUCCUGAAGUUUUGGGCGUGAGGGGGUCGUAGGCGGUGCGUCGCGUCCGGUGUGAAAGUCCAUCGCGUAACGGUGGAUCCGGGCCGGGUACGGGCGGGCUUGAGUGCGGUAGGGGAGACUGGAAUGCCCGGUGUAACGGUGGAAUGUGUAGAUAUCGGGAAGAACACCAAUGGCGAAGGCAGGUCUCUGGGCCGUCACUGACGCUGAGGAGCGAAAGCGUGGGGAGCGAACAGGAUUAGAUACCCCUGUAGUC
rnacentral:rRNA from 1 species